rnacentral:rRNA from 1 species
AAUCCAUAGGUUAAUGAGGCGAACCGGGGGAACUGAAACAUCUAAGUACCCCGAGGAAAAGAAAUCAACCGAGAUUCCCCCAGUAGCGGCGAGCGAACGGGGAGGAGCCCAGAGCCUGAAUCAGCAUGUGUGUUAGUGGAAGCGUCUGGAAAGGCGCGCGAUACAGGGUGACAGCCCCGUACACAAAAGCGCAUGUGCUGUGAGCUCGAUGAGUAGGGCGGGACACGUGGUAUCCUGUCUGAAUAUGGGGGGACCAUCCUCCAAGGCUAAAUACUCCUGACUGACCGAUAGUGAACCAGUACCGUGAGGGAAAGGCGAAAAGAACCCCGGCGAGGGGAGUGAAAAAGAACCUGAAACCGUGUACGUACAAGCAGUGGGAGCACAGGUUUACCUGUGUGACUGCGUACCUUUUGUAUAAUGGGUCAGCGACUUAUAUUCUGUAGCAAGGUUAACCGUAUAGGGGAGCCGUAGGGAAACCGAGUCUUAACCGGGCGUUAAGUUGCAGGGUAUAGACCCGAAACCCGGUGAUCUAGCCAUGGGC